AGAUCACUUUUUUGAAAUAGCAUAUGAAAUUAAAGGUGUACUUGGUUGCAGUCCUAAUUAUUUCUCGGAUAUGCUCUCUAUCUUCGUAGCUGAAUCUAAAAUGACCUUAUCAGACAUGGCUAAAGCUUUAUAUGUGUACAUAAUAUAUAUCUUGAUAUAGAUCUUAGUUGUUAUUAACCACGUUGAUUAGUUAAUGAGUUUUAAUUAUUUGGUCUUCUUCUCUUAAUUUGCAGGGACAAAGUAUUUAGUGCAUAUUUUCCUAAGAUUUGCGAACUUUACUUCAAGAUAAAAGAAGCUGCCUCAAGGUAUAUAAUUAAUGCUAAUCAUCACAGCUCAAAACUCUUUAAUUUAAAGUAUUUAUGUGUGUCAUUAUUGAUCUAAUAAUAUGU
rnacentral:lncRNA from 1 species